UGGGGAAUUUUGGACAAUGGGCGCAAGCCUGAUCCAGCCAUGCCGCGUGUGUGAAGAAGGCCUUCGGGUUGUAAAGCACUUUCGGCCGGAACGAAAUCGCGCGGGUUAAUAGUCCGCGUGGAUGACGGUACCGGAAGAAGAAGCACCGGCUAACUACGUGCCAGCAGCCGCGGUAAUACGUAGGGUGCGAGCGUUAAUCGGAAUUACUGGGCGUAAAGGGUGCGCAGGCGGCGUCGCAAGUCAGGCGUGAAAUCCCCGGGCUUAACCUGGGAACUGCACUUGAAACUACGAUGCUGGAGUAUGGCAGAGGGAGGUGGAAUUCCACGUGUAGCGGUGAAAUGCGUAGAGAUGUGGAGGAACACCGAUGGCGAAGGCAGCCUCCUGGGCCAAUACUGACGCUCAUGCACGAAAGCGUGGGGAGCAAACAG
rnacentral:rRNA from 1 species